CCUGGUGGCCAUAGCAAGGAGCCCGCACCCGAUCCCAUCCCGAACUCGGCCGUGAAAAUCCUUAGCGCCAAUGGUACUUUGUCUUAAGACACGGAGAGUAGGUCGCUGCCAGGU
rnacentral:rRNA from 1 species